GUAUUGGCCUACCGUGGCAAUGACGGAUAACGGGGAAUUAGGGUUCGAUUCCGGAGAGGGAGCCUGAGAAACGGCUACCACAUCUAAGGAAGGCAGCAGGCGCGCAAAUUACCCAAUCCUAAUACAGGGAGGUAGUGACAAGAAAUAACAAUACAGGACUUUUUGGUUUUGUAAUUGGAAUGAGUUAAGUAUAAACCCCUUUACAAGUAUCAAUUGGAGGGCAAGUCUGGUGCCAGCAGCCGCGGUAAUUCCAGCUCCAAUAGCGUAUAUUAAAGUUGUUGCAGUUAAAAAGCUCGUAGUUGGAUUUCUGUUAAUAAUUUAUAUAAAAUAUUUUGAUGAAUAUUUAUAUAAUAUUAACAUAAUUCAUAUUACUAUAUAUUUUAGUAUAUGAAAUUUUACUUUGAGAAAAUUAGAGUGCUUAAAGCAGGCAUAUGCCUUGAAUACUCCAGCAUGGAAUAAUAUUAAAGAUUUUUAUCUUUCUUAUUGGUUCUAAGAUAAGAAUAAUGAUUAAUAGGGACAGUUGGGGGCAUUUGUAUUUAA
rnacentral:rRNA from 1 species